ensembl:misc_RNA Metazoa_SRP Metazoan signal recognition particle RNA
GCUGGGCAUGGUGGCACAAGCCUGUAGUCCCUGCUACUUGGGAGGCUGAGGUGGGAGGAUUACUUGAGCCCAGGAGUUCAAGACUGCAAUGAGCUGUGAUCAUGCCAUUGCACUCCAGCCUGGGCAACAGAGCGAGACCCUAACUCUG